ACUGACAUUUCCAAUCCCGUAUACACGUCCCUUGUAUUUUCCACCAGCAGCCUCUAACCAACAUCGGUUUCUCAAUCUUUCCUCUUCGGCAGGAUCUAGAGGACUACUUGCCGAGACACCAACAGAUGCAUUCUCACAUCUUAUUUCAGAAAACUUUGCUACAAAUUGUUCCUGUUAAUACAAUAAAUAUUAUCAGUAAACAUAAGGUUUAGAAACUGACAAUGUAUAAUGUGAUAGAUUUAGUAGAAACUUACAUGGGUCCGCCUAGACCUUUCGUCCACAAAUUCCCCCGUUGAGUGAUGAAUAUGUGUUUGCUGAAAUAUUUCAUCAACAUGCACAGACCGGCCAAGCUCCUGUGACUACAAAUAAAAUGAGUUGUUAAUAUCAAUUUUUGUAAAGCUUAUGAUUACAAAUUUAAGAAAUAAAAUGUACAAGUUACAUACCAAAUGAAUAGCAUGCUCAUGCACACUAAUAGAUCCUCCUAUGUGCAAACAACCACCCUUUUGAGAUGUGCAAUUCUUCUUAGCUGUUUCACACUUUUUUCUAUAUANUGGCAUGUUCCACUUUUCCAGAAGAGCAUUCCAAGUAUCAUCCCCCAGCCAAUUAGGUCUUUUUCCUAGAGUUCUAGCUUUUUUAUACAUCUCUGAGAGUCUAUGAGAUGCCUUGGUUUGAAAUUUUUUUUUUACCUUUUCCUCAUCUUCAGGAUUCCAUGAAACCUUUCUCUAUUAUAUAUUAGAAAGAAUAGUGAGAAUAGCUAG
rnacentral:lncRNA from 1 species